rnacentral:rRNA from 1 species
GGGUGAGUAACACGUAUCCAACCUGCCGUCUACUCUUGGACAGCCUUCUGAAAGGAAGAUUAAUACAAGAUGGCAUCAUGAGUCCGCAUGUUCACAUGAUUAAAGGUAUUCCGGUAGACGAUGGGGAUGCGUUCCAUUAGAUAGUAGGCGGGGUAACGGCCCACCUAGUCUUCGAUGGAUAGGGGUUCUGAGAGGAAGGUCCCCCACAUUGGAACUGAGACACGGUCCAAACUCCUACGGGAGGCAGCAGUGAGGAAUAUUGGUCAAUGGGCGAGAGCCUGAACCAGCCAAGUAGCGUGAAGGAUGACUGCCCUAUGGGUUGUAAACUUCUUUUAUAAAGGAAUAAAGUCGGGUAUGGAUACCCGUUUGCAUGUACUUUAUGAAUAAGGAUCGGCUAACUCCGUGCCAGCAGCCGCGGUAAUACGGAGGAUCCGAGCGUUAUCCGGAUUUAUUGGGUUUAAAGGGAGCGUAGAUGGAUAUUUAAGUCAGUUGUGAAAGUUUGCGGCUCAACCGUAAAAUUGCAGUUGAUACUGGAUAUCUUGAGUGCAGUUGAGGCAGGCGGAAUUCGUGGUGUAGCGGUGAAAUGCUUAGAUAUCACGAAGAACUCCGAUUGCGAAGGCAGCCUGCUAAGCUGCAACUGACAUUGAGGCUCGAAAGUGUGGGUAUCAAACAGGAUUAGAUACCCUGGUAGUCCACACGGUAAACGAUGAAUACUCGCUGUUUGCGAUAUACUGCAAGCGGCCAAG